rnacentral:rRNA from 1 species
GAUGAACGCUGGCGGCGUGCCUAAUACAUGCGAGUCGAGCGAACGGACGAGAAGCUUGCUUUUCUGAUGUUAGCGGCGGACGGGUGAGUAACACGUGGAUAACCUACCUAUAAGACUGGGAUAACUUCGGGAAACCGGAGCUAAUACCGGAUAAUAUUUUGAACCGCAUGGUUCAAAAGUGAAAGACGGUCUUGCUGUCACUUAUAGAUGGAUCCGCGCUGCAUUAGCUAGUUGGUAAGGUAACGGCUUACCAAGGCAACGAUGCAUAGCCGACCUGAGAGGGUGAUCGGCCACACUGGAACUGAGACACGGUCCAGACUCCUACGGGAGGCAGCAGUAGGGAAUCUUCCGCAAUGGGCGAAAGCCUGACGGAGCAACGCCGCGUGAGUGAUGAAGGUCUUCGGAUCGUAAAACUCUGUUAUUAGGGAAGAACACAUGUGUAAGUAACUGUGCACAUCUUGACGGUACCUAAUCAGAAAGCCACGGCUAACUACGUG